GCACCGGUGGGGUAUUGGAAGCCCACGACCUCUCCAUUUCCGGUCAGAUAUCUGGGAAUUUUACGCCGAGCACGGGGUUCGACUCCCCGCCGAUGCA